rnacentral:rRNA from 1 species
AGAGUUUGAUCAUGGCUCAGAUUGAACGCUGGCGGCAUGCUUUACACAUGCAAGUCGAACGGGCUUAGGGGCUUGCUCCUAAGUUAGUGGCGAACGGGUGAGUAAUACAUCGGAACGUACCGUGUAGUGGGGGAUAACGUAGCGAAAGUUACGCUAAUACCGCAUACGAUCUACGGAUGAAAGUGGGGGACCUUCGGGCCUCACGCUAUACGAGCGGCCGAUGUCUGAUUAGCUAGUUGGUGAGGUAAAGGCUCACCAAGGCAACGAUCAGUAGCGGGUCUGAGAGGAUGAUCCGCCACACUGGGACUGAGACACGGCCCAGACUCCUACGGGAGGCAGCAGUGGGGAAUUUUGGACAAUGGGCGAAAGCCUGAUCCAGCCAUGCCGCGUGUCUGAAGAAGGCCUUCGGGUUGUAAAGGACUUUUGUCAGGGAGCAAAACUUAGAGGUUAAUAACCUUUGAGGUUGAGAGUACCUGAAGAAUAAGCACCGGCUAACUACGUG